UAGAGUUCUGAGGUUAGGACUGUCAGUCAAAUUCAGCCAUUGCAGAGAAAACUUGCAGUUUCUCCCACCGUUGCGGAGUUGAGUUGUUUGGAGAGAGGAAAUUCACUAGAACAAUUUAUUUAACAAGGAGCCCUGUGAAUAUAGCCCUUGAGAUAACAACCUGUACCUGUUGCCCCUUUGCUAUAAUUCUGUGACCCCAGCCUCGGUGAAAACCCAAAUGGGUUUCCACAGGACUGACUGCAGAUAACAAGAAAGCUUCGCUGAUAAGCAUCAGAGAUGGUGUCCCAGUAAAGACUGGGGACUGGAAUGCAAAUGUAGGAAGUCAAGAAACACCUGGAGUAACAGGCAA